GAAUAAAGAGCGGGGAAAGGUGCAAAUUGCCUGUGUGCUUUUUGCUUAAAAGGGAAGAACGGUGCAAAUCCGACGCGGUCCCGCCACUGUAAAUGGGGAGUGACUCCAGCAAUAUACGCCACUGUUUCUGUGAUGAAAUGGGAAGGUAUGGAGAAGCGAUGAUCCAUGAGCCAGGAGACCUGCCUUUCUCUAAGAUGUUUC
rnacentral:ncRNA from 2 species